AGUAGAGUUGACUAAAGGUUAGUUACCAGACUCAUUAUCUGGGGAAUGUAGGUUCGAGUUCGCCUCUACAUC
rnacentral:tRNA from 1 species